rnacentral:rRNA from 14 species
GACUCGUCACACUAUCAUUAACUGAAUCCAUAGGUUAAUGAGGCGAACCGGGGGAACUGAAACAUCUAAGUACCCCGAGGAAAAGAAAUCAACCGAGAUUCCCCCAGUAGCGGCGAGCGAACGGGGAGGAGCCCAGAGCCUGAAUCAGCAUGUGUGUUAGUGGAAGCGUCUGGAAAGGCGCGCGAUACAGGGUGACAGCCCCGUACACAAAAGCGCAUGUGCUGUGAGCUCGAUGAGUAGGGCGGGACACGUGGUAUCCUGUCUGAAUAUGGGGGGACCAUCCUCCAAGGCUAAAUACUCCUGACUGACCGAUAGUGAACCAGUACCGUGAGGGAAAGGCGAAAAGAACCCCGGCGAGGGGAGUGAAAAAGAACCUGAAACCGUGU